GUGCUCACUUCAGCAGCAUAUAUAUUAAAACUGGAACAAUACAGAUGAGAUUAGUAUGGGCCCCUGCUCAAGGAUGACACACAAAUUAAGCGUUUUAUAUUUUUUUU